GGAAGACUUGAGUUGACCGAAACCCUAGGGCUUUUCUUCUUCCUUUUCGGUUGUAAGUCCAAGAACAGCGAGAUAAAGGAAAAGGAAAAGUAUAAGAAGGAAGGCGACAAGGAGAUGCUGUGACAGUGUGUGUGAUGCCAGGACUAUGGAGAGAUCCAGAGUUCGCUAGCGAAUUUUCCGGACCUACCUGUUUACAGUUUUAGUUUAUGUUAUUAUGAAGUUGAGAUUGUAAUUGAGUUAUUCCGCACUUGUAGCUUGUUAUGUCCUAUCGUUGGAGUUCUAUCUGUUUACUAUUGCUAGAAUAGUUUUUUU